ACACACAAAAUGUUUAUUGCUGUCUAUUGUUUCAAAACAGCUAGUUCAAGUGAUUAUGGUGUACUCAUGUUUAAUUCACCUGGGCUCAAUUUAUGUUUUUUGUUCUUUUUUUACACAAAUAUAUGCACAACUCUGUUUACUACUCAGCGUAGCCAGGUGCAACAAUUAGGUCCAAAUGUUUGCAGCAUAUUAUUUGGCAGUAGAAAUGUGAGGCUAAAUCAGCCCCUGUUUUUCAGUUUGUACUAACUCAAAAAAAUCUGAUUCUCGUGAUGUGAUUAAGUCACGUGUGCACUGACACACUUUUGGGCUCUUUGGAAACCGGAAAAGAAGUAGUUUAGAUGGUUUAGCAAUAAGAAUUUAGGAAAUGUGCCUCACAUCCUGUUUGUCUGUAUUCACCAUCAACUUUGUUUGUGUGAGCCAGCCAAAUGAGUCCAAGUAAAGCUGUGAAGCUGCAUGUUUCAGUACCACAAUGUGUGUCUUUCUUAUCAAUGGUAAAAGAGCUCUGAAAACAACUUACCAAAUUACCAUUAACAUAAAGUUUUUAGGAAUUAUGUCAACAACUGGUGCAAACAAAGAGCUGCCUGGCAAAAAAGUUCAACCUGGCUUAAUGUUUGCCUCAGCAUAAAACAACAUCAUCCAGCACUGGCCAAUCAAGUGCAUGCAAGCACACCUUCCCCAUAGAUUAUGUUGUAAUAUGGAUGCCGUAUUUCUACUGUUUAUCUUGUAAUUGUAAUGAUGAAAUAUAAAACGUUUGCAGCCAUGAUAACUUUGCAGAGUUGUUAAGUCCUUCCUGACAGACCACCAUGCAACACUUAAAGUAUCUGUGAAGCUUUCAGUCUCAUCGAUCUAUUACUUAAACUGGACUGGCUGGAUCAAAUUUCAAUGGUCCUGCUCAUGCUGCCACAACAGCUCUGACUGUGACAUGGACUCCACAGGACCUCUGAAGGUGUCCAAGCACCAAGAUGUUAAAGAAAACAAUGUCACCUAAAGAGGUCUGAACGUAGACUGGUUGAUGAGUCAGAUGGAGAUCUCCAACAUGUUUUAUGUUGAUAUGUUGUGGAAUUAUCAUGGCACAAUACAAGUUGAUUGGAGAAGUGAUGUAUUUUGCGUAUUGAUGCCAACAAGCAAUGCAAUUAAUUAAUAAAAUAAUAAUUUGCAGAA